GUGUGAGCAGGCACAUCUCCUGCAUCGUGACAGCCAUUAUACCACCAACAGCAGACAGUGCAUUGUGGGCGGCAGUAUGCUGGGGACUGGGAGGAAUGAGGCAGCACAGCGACAUUGCUCCCCCUGUGAACACCUGUCCUGCAGGAUCACUAGCGGGAACGGCGUUCCUGCUUUGAAAAAAGUGCAGGAACGCCGUUCCCAUGCGUUCCUGCAGGACUCGAGCCCUGUUG